UACGUAGGCAGCAAGCGUUGUUCGGAGUUACUGGGCGUAAAGGGUGUGUAGGCGGUUCUCUAAGUUUGGUGUGAAAUCUCCCGGCUCAACUGGGAGGGUGCGCCGAAUACUGAAGGACUAGAGUACGGGAGAGGAGAGUGGAAUUCCUGGUGUAGCGGUGAAAUGCGUAGAUAUCAGGAGGAACACCGGUGGUGUAGACGGCUCUCUGGACCGUAACUGACGCUGAGACACGAAAGCGUGGGUAGCAAACAG
rnacentral:rRNA from 1 species